UCAUUAAAGUUUGGGGCACUCUGUGGAGACUGCCGGUGUCAAACCGGAGGAAGUGGGGAUGACGUCAAGUCCUCAUGGCCCUUAUGACCAGGGCUACACACGUGCUACAAUGGCCGGUACAAAGAGUUGCGAUACCGCGAGGUGGAGCUAAUCUCAUAAAGCCGGUCUCAGUUCGGAUUGGAGUCUGCAACUCGACUCCAUGAAGUUGGAAUCGCUAGUAAUCGCGGAUCAGCAUGCCGCGGUGAAUACGUUCCCGGGCCUU
rnacentral:rRNA from 1 species